rnacentral:lncRNA from 10 species
CCCAGGAGCGAGCCCAUGGUCUUCCGACGCGGGGCCAGGGGCGGGCCCCAGGAUCCGGAGCUUCGGGGGGGCCGAGUCCGGGUUUGGGGCCCGGGAGGCGGGGCCAGUUAGGUCGAGGGUCCCUGGGAUCGUCGGGUCAGGCCUUGGGCUAACGUAGGCACUCUCGCAGUUCCUCCGCCUUCAGGAAGGUCUUUUUAGCAGGGGCCUUACGGGUGCAUGCUUCGGUCCUGGAGGACUUAGGCUAGCCUCCUCUCCAUCAGCGCCACCCGUCUGGGGCCCGAAAGGAGGGAGCUUUCCCUCUGUCCCCCAGCCUUUGGACUGUCACCAAACAAGCCAUUCGUUCACCAAAUACUUUUUAAGCGCCUACCAUGUGCCUGACAAGGGAUAUGUAACGGUGAGAAAAACUAGGUGUGGUCCAGGCCCUUCAGGGACUCAGGGGCUCGUGGAAGAAGUGGAUAUUGAAGUACUUAUCACACAAAGGAGGAUAAAAGUACGAUAGCGAUAUCUACCACGAAGCUGUUGUUCCACACCAGAACCAAAUGAGCGCAAGAUCUGACAAAAAAAAAAGUCCCUGUAUCCUGAGAUGGAGUCACCUGAGAAUCCACAGCAAGUCCUAACCAGGGAUGGGUCUGGGUGAUUAAGGAAGAUUGGCUUCAGAACUGGGCCAGGGGCACUGCUUUGCUUUUGCUGUUUUGAUCAGCUCUCUGCCUGCAGGAGACGAGGAAAACCAAUGGGAACAGGGUCUCUCUCUCUGCCACUCAGGCCAGAGUGCAGUUGACGCAGAGCAGGGGAGCCCUGAAAUGGAGCAUAGUGUGUCCGGAACUGGUGGGUUCUUGGUCUCACUGACUUCAAGAAUGAAGCUGCGGACCCUCGGGAUGAGUGUCACAGUUCUUAAAGGUGGCUUGUCUGGAGUUUGUUCCUUCUGAUGCUCUGAUGUGUUCAGAGUUUCUUCUUUCUGGUGGGUUUGUGGUCUCACUGGCUUCAGGAGUGAAGCUGCAGACCUUCAAGGUGAGUGUUACAGCUCUUAAGGCGGUGCGUCUGGAGUUGUUUGUUCCUCCCGGUGGGUUCAUAGUCUCGCUGGCUUCAGGAGUG